GGGGGGGGACGCAGGAGGAUAGGGUAAGCGCGGUAUUGGAUAUCCGCGUCCAAGCAGUUAGGCUGGGAAAUAGGCAAAUCCGUUUCCCAUAAGGCUGAGCUGUGAUGGCGAGCGAAAUAUAGUAGCGAAGUUCCUGAUUCCACACUGCCAAGAAAAGCCUCUAGCGAGGUGAGAGGUGCCCGUACCGCAAACCGACACAGGUAGGCGAGGAGAGAAUCCUAAGGUGAUCGAGAGAACUCUCGUUAAGGAACUCGGCAAAAUGACCCCGUAACUUCGGGAGAAGGGGUGCUCUGUUAGGGUGCAAGCCCGAGAGAGCCGCAGUGAAUAGGCCCAGGCGACUGUUUAGCAAAAACACAGGUCUCUGCGAAGCCGUAAAGCGAAGUAUAGGGGCUGACGCCUGCCCGGUGCUGGAAGGUUAAGAGGAGCGCUUAGCGUAAGCGAAGGUGCGAAUUGAAGCCCCAGUAAACGGCGGCCGUAACAAUAACGGUCCUAAGGUAGCGAAAUUCCUUGUCGGGUAAGUUCCGACCCGCACGAAAGGCGCAACGAUCUGGGCACUGUCUCAACGAGAGACUCGGUGAAAUUAUAGUACCUGUGAAGAUGCAGGUUACCCGCGACAGGACGGAAAGACCCCGUGGAGCUUUACUGCAGCCUGAUAUUGAAUGUUGGUACAGCUUGUACAGGAUAGGUAGGAGCCUUGGAAACCGGAGCGCCAGCUUCGGUGGAGGCAUCGGUGGGAUACUACCCUGGCUGUAUUGACCUUCUAACCCGCCGCCCUUAUCGGGCGGGGAGACAGUGUCAGGUGGGCAGUUUGACUGGGGCGGUCGCCUCCUAAAAGGUAACGGAGGCGCCCAAAGGUUCCCUCAGAAUGGUUGGAAAUCAUUCGCAGAGUGUAAAGGCACAAGGGAGCUUGACUGCGAGACCUACAAGUCGAGCAGGGACGAAAGUCGGGCUUAGUGAUCCGGUGGUUCCGCAUGGAAGGGCCAUCGCUCAACGGAUAAAAGCUACCCCGGGGAUAACAGGCUUAUCUCCCCCAAGAGUCCACAUCGACGGGGAGGUUUGGCACCUCGAUGUCGGCUCAUCGCAUCCUGGGGCUGUAGUCGGUCCCAAGGGUUGGGCUGUUCGCCCAUUAAAGCGGUACGCGAGCUGGGUUCAGAACGUCGUGAGACAGUUCGGUCCCUAUCCGUCGCGGGCGCAGGAAAUUUGAGAGGAGCUGUCCUUAGUACGAGAGGACCGGGAUGGACGCACCGCUGGUGUACCAGUUGUUCUGCCAAGGGCAUCGCUGGGUAGCUAUGUGCGGACGGGAUAAGUGCUGAAAGCAUCUAAGCAUGAAGCCCCCCUCAAGAUGAGAUUUCCCAUUCCGCAAGGAAGUAAGAUCCCUGAAAGAUGAUCAGGUUGAUAGGUCUGAGGUGGAAGUGUGGCGACACAUGGAGCUGACAGAUACUAAUCGAUCGAGGACUUAACCU
rnacentral:rRNA from 1 species